AGAGUUUGAUCCUGGCUCAGGAUGAACGCCGGCGGCGUGCUUAACACAUGCAAGUCGAACGAAGCACUUCGGACAGAUUCUUCGGAUGAAGUCCUUAGUGACUGAGUGGCGGACGGGUGAGUAACGCGUGGGUAACCUGCCUCAUACAGGGGGAUAACAGUUAGAAAUGGCUGCUAAUACCGCAUAAGCGCACGGUACCGCAUGGUACAGUGUGAAAAACUCCGGUGGUAUGAGAUGGACCCGCGUUGGAUUAGCUAGUUGGCAGGGUAACGGCCUACCAAGGCGACGAUCCAUAGCCGGCCUGAGAGGGUGGACGGCCACAUUGGGACUGAGACACGGCCCAGACUCCUACGGGAGGCAGCAGUGGGGAAUAUUGCACAAUGGGGGAAACCCUGAUGCAGCGACGCCGCGUGAGUGAAGAAGUAUUUCGGUAUGUAAAGCUCUAUCAGCAGGGAAGAAAAUGACGGUACCUGACUAAGAAGCCCCGGCUAACUACGUGCCAGCAGCCGCGGUAAUACGUAGGGGGCAAGCGUUAUCCGGAUUUACUGGGUGUAAAGGGAGCGUAGACGGAAUGGCAAGUCUGAUGUGAAAGGCCGGGGCUCAACCCCGGGACUGCAUUGGAAACUGUCAAUCUAGAGUACCGGAGGGGUAAGCGGAAUUCCUAGUGUAGCGGUGAAAUGCGUAGAUAUUAGAAGGAACACCAGUGGCGAAGGCGGCUUACUGGACGGUAACUGACGUUGAGGCUCGAAAGCGUGGGGAGCAAACAAGAUUAGAUACCCUGGUAGUCCACGCCGUAAAC
rnacentral:rRNA from 1 species